GCUGGUGUGGUGUAGUGGUUUGAGCUCUGGACUAUGACUCUGAAGACCAGGGUUUGAAUCCCAGCUCAGCC
rnacentral:tRNA from 1 species